AAGAUACAAAUCAUCAGACGCACUGCAUUCAGCUUCAGUCAGCGGCCGCUCACUGUCUCCCGGCCUCUGCUCAUUUCUCUGUUUUCCUCCUGAGUUGGUGUGUCUGCCCGUCUCCUCCCUGGGGCCCCACCUCUCUGGAUUUGGAAGAUUUGGACUGUUACCUCCCAGAGCCAAUAAUGCACCUCUGCUCUCCGCCGACAAGGUACGCCUCAAGGAACAUGCGAAUCCUGCGCAGUGGACUGUGGCUUUCGACCAAAAGUGAAGCAAGCAGAGCAGAGAGGCCUUUGGAGAGGGAAGCCGAGGAGAAACUCUCCAGUCACACACACCAGGUCCUUCUGGGAGCCCUGCUCCUCCUCCCAUCAAGCAGAGCCACAGACGAUCAAGCGUUCGCGUGUACAGCCUGACACGCGGGUGUGGGAAGCUCACCUGUCUCUCAUUCCCUCCUCGGAAGGAUCCGGGUACCCAGCAGCCCUCCAGCAUCUGCGGCAUGUCAGGAAAGGUGCCGAGCGCUGAGGUGACAGGUGUAAAGACAUGAGCCAUUCCACGGGGAUCACUGGGUAGAGUGGGAAGUAGAGAGGCAGAGAGCUGCCACUUGGCCAGAGGUGGGGUUAUCCUCCACUUGGUCACUCAGCGCCCCAACCAGAGUCCCAAACUCCUGGGAGUGAAGUUGUGGUGAUAUCUUGUGUAUCCUAAUAAAAUUUACCCGAAGAUCAGAGAACAGAGCAAGCCACUAGAUCAAACAUAGAGGCCAGGCAGUGGUGGCACACACCUUUAAUCCUAGCACUCAUGA